AGAAGACACAGUCCCAGCCCCGGGGAAGGACCUCCCUGCAGGUCUGGAAGCUGGUGCAUACGCCUGAGACACAGUCAAGCCACAGUGCAUCACAGUGGAAACAUUAACACGGAGAUUUGUCAACAGGUGUUCAUGGCAAAGUAGACCAGACUAGACUGGAUGGCCAGGGAGUCUGGAGCAAGGGGUGUCGGAAGAGAGGUCAGGAGAGAAUUCCAGAAAGGUGUUUAGCCUUGAGUAUGCAUACAAAGAAAGAGGGGGCAUAGACAGAUUGACUGCGUGCGUAUGUAUUAAGUCACUUCAGUCGUGUUCAACUCUGUGCAACCCUAUGGACCGUAGUCUGCCGGGCUCCUCUGUCCAUGGAAUUCUUCAGGCAAGAAUACUAGAGUGGGAUGCUGUGACCUCCUCCGAGGGAUCUUCCCAACACAGGGAUGGAACGCAGGUAUCCUGCAUUGUAGGCGGAUUCUUAACCUACUGAGCCGCCUGGGAGACCUGGGCUGAUGGAUUGACGUGACUGAUAUUUACCAGAUGUUGGCCGUAUACCAGGCCCUUAUGCUGGUGCAGGGACCAGGGUGAAGGAGCAUGAGGGUGGAGGGAGGUGGCACUGGCGUGAACCCCGGCUCAGCAGUUCCUUCGUUGGAGGGUGGAGGUAACACCUGUGAAACAUCUGAGCCCAGAGGAGACCUUCGUUAAAGGAGGCUUCCCCCUGCACGCCCUCCAUUCUGGUCCUCAGUGACCACCGCCACCUGAGAUUGUUAUAAAAUGUAGGCUUUAUUAUUAUUCAGGCAGGACGAGAAGGGGGCGGCAGAGGAUGAGAUGGCUGGAUGGUGUCACCGGCUCAAUGGACAUGAGCUUGAACAACCUUCAGGAGAUAGUGAAGGACAGGGAAUCCUGGCGUGCUGCAGCCCACGGGGUCACAGAGAGGUGGACACAACUUAGUGGCUGGACAAUAACAUGCUGAGGCCAACAGAUCGGGAGUCCAUUUGGAAAAAGUGAAAUGAACAAAUGAAGACAGGAGCGAAAUUAAAAGAUAAUUGGAAGUCUAUAUCAGGCUUCUGUGGAUGUGCGCACACGCCGCCAAUCUGGUCUCUCUGUGCGGGCAGGAUAAAUUGAGAACUCUUUGGCUGGCUCAGGGGGUGGAUAAAACAGAGACAAAUGCGUGCCAUGCAAAUAAACGACCCAUCUUCCCGUGACUGGCUUUGCGUCCCCCUGCUGGCGCCUCCUCUGGUCCCCUCGGUCUGACGGGCCUGUGUGUUCCAAGGUGGAAGUCGAUCCCAG
ensembl:lncRNA